rnacentral:tRNA from 1 species
GCAGCCUUGGCGGAACUGGUAUACGCGCUAGUCUCAGAAGCUAGUACUUAAUAGUGUUCGAGUUCAAAUCUCGAAGGCUGCACCA